UACGUAGGGUGCGAGCGUUGUCCGGAAUUAUUGGGCGUAAAGAGCUUGUAGGUGGCUCGUCGCGUCGGGAGUGAAAACCCGCGGCUUAACCGCGGGCCUGCUUUCGAUACGGGCGGGCUAGAGUUCGGCAGGGGAGACUGGAAUUCCUGGUGUAGCGGUGGAAUGCGCAGAUAUCAGGAGGAACACCGGUGGCGAAGGCGGGUCUCUGGGCCGAUACUGACGCUGAAAGCGCGAAAGCCAGGGGAGCAAACGGG
rnacentral:rRNA from 1 species